GACUGAUUUUGAUGGAACUCUGUUAAAAAUGUGCAAAGCUGUUUGCAAUGCAAAUCCCCAAAAAGAGAUUAGUAAAUUCAUAUAGCUCAUUAUACUGCAUACCAUAUCUAAUAGGAUAUGGUUUCUCCUUUCAGAUACACCAUUUAAUUGUAGUGUUCCUAGAGGAUUCAAUUGAGAAAUAAUGUCAUAUUCCUUUAGGACCUGUUCAAAUUCAGUACUUA
rnacentral:misc_RNA from 1 species